rnacentral:rRNA from 1 species
GACAGAGGCCUCGAGCGUUAGGCGGAAUCACUGGGCUUAAAGCGUGUGUAGGCGGAGGCGUAAGUACCUUGUGAAAUCCCACGGCUCAACUGUGGAACUGCUGGGUAUACUGCGUCUCUUGAGUCACUCAGGGGCGAGCGGAACAGAUGGUGGAGCGGUGAAAUGCGUAGAUAUCAUCUGGAACGCCAAUGGUGAAGACAGCUCGCUGGGGGUGUACUGACGCUGAGACACGAAAGCCAGGGGAGCGAACGGG